rnacentral:rRNA from 1 species
ACUCAAAUGAAUAGACGGGGGCCCGCACAAGCGGUGGAGCAUGUUGUUUAAUACGUCACUAACCGUAGAACCUUACCAGGGUUUGACAUGGGAGGCACCGCUAUGAAAGUAGCGUUCCUAGCAAUAGGACCUCCACACAGGUGUUGCAUGGCUGUCGUCAGCUCGUGUCGUGAGAUGUUGGGUUAAGUCCCGCAACGAGCGCAACCCUCAUCCUAUGUUGCCAGCGAGUGAAGUCGGGAACUCUUAGGAAACUGCCGGGGUAACUCGGAGGAAGGUGAGGAUGACGUCAAGUCAGCAUGGCCCUUACAUCCUGGGCUACAAACAUGCUACAAUGGACGGUACACAAAGGGAUCCAAGACCGCGAGGUGGAGGCAAUCUCAAAAAUCCGUUCUCAGUUCGGAUCGCAGGCUGCAACUCGCCUGCGUGAAGCCGGAAUCGCUAGUAACCGCAGGUCAGCUAAACUGCGGUGAAUACGUUCCCGGGCCUUGUACACACCGCCCGU